UUAAAGCAGGCUCUUUUUGACCCUAUGAAUCACCCGUAGUUCAAGCCAGGGUUGCCAGGUCUGCGGUUUUUUCCUACAUCAAAUAUUAUUUGUAGCGCCUCCCAUCCAAUAAUCUCAAAAAGAUUUGUACUUUAUUACUUCUGAUAAAAAUUAAAGUUUCAGUUUUCAAAUUCUGUCCAUUUUAUCGUGAAAUUCAAACAAUACAUGGCGUUUUGACGCUCUUAAAUGUGUCAGAUCGCUGUAAUGCUUCAGUUCAGGCGGCAGCUCGGAGCGCGAGUCUUUUCUUCCUCUUUAAUACAAGUUAUAUAUCGAAAAACAUGAAUGAACAUCAAAGAUUUAAAAGCCAUGCCAUCGUAGACCUUUCUGCAGAGUCAGAAGGCAUUAUUGGAACCUUCUCGACCUUUCAGUAUUCUAGACUGUGACACUGGACCAAGUUCACUUAGAAAGCUGAAUUGGAAAAGAGAUCCUGACCCAAUGCAGAUCUGCUGGAUGCGUUUUAUGGCCUGAGAGACACAAGGAUGAAAUAUACAUGCUGAGGCAGAAAACAGCAUAUUCAAAAUUAUGACUAAAUUAUGCAUCACAUAGUGGCUGCCAAUAAAACAAUCAUUGCCAGUAUUGAGCAGUCUAUGUUAUAAUAGAAAAUUCAAUAUACACCUUGUUAUUCUGGAACUUUCAAAAAGUGG